UCCCCGAUAGCUCAAUGGUAGAGCAGACGGCUGUUAACCGUAAGGUUCAUGGUUCGAGUCCAUGUCGGGGAGCCA
rnacentral:tRNA from 1 species